rnacentral:rRNA from 1 species
GAGUUUGAUCCUGGCUCAGGAUGAACGCUAGCGGCAGGCUUAACACAUGCAAGUCGAGGGGCAGCACGGGUAGCAAUACUUGGUGGCGACCGGCGCAAGGGUGCGUAACGCGUGAGCAACAUGCCCGUAUCAGGGGGAUAAUCCAGGGAAACUUGGUCUAAUACCCCAUAGUAAUAAUUUGAGGCAUCUUGGAUUAUUUAAAGCUUUGGUGGAUACGGAUUGGCUCGCGUGACAUUAGCUUGAUGGUAAGGUAACGGCUUACCAUGGCUAUGAUGUCUAGGGGUUCUGAGAGGAAGGUCCCCCACACUGGAACUGAGACACGCCC